ensembl:lncRNA
GGUAAUAGAUGUUUCCGGUGAGCGUGCGUGCAAGAAUAAGACACAACAAGGUAAAUAUUUUCAGUCAGAGGGCUCGCUUGGUGGGACUUAUGGAAUAUCUGGAAUGGAGCUUGGUAGAUUGGAGUCUAUAGUUUGCUAGGACACGUUUUUCCUGAGAAGACCUGAAAAAUGCAUUUUAAUACGGGCUUCAAAAUACAUUUUGUCAUGUAUUUUCUAUAAUUGCAAAAAUAUAUAUAUCUGCUCGAGUUUCUCAGCCAAUCAUAGGGUGAGGUUGACAGCCAAUCACAGCGCGAGAAAUGUUCUGCCAUCCGUUUCAACUAUACUCCCUCCGUUUCCACUAAACUUUCUCUCUCUCUCACAUACAUACAUUCUUCUCUCACAUACAUAUAUAUUCUUUACACAUGCAUACAUUUUCUGCUUAUAUACAUAUAUUAUUUACAAUUGUGACUGCAUGUGCAUGAGAUCAAAAAUGUAUGAAUAUGUAUGUAAAAUAUAGAAAUGUGAGAGAAAAAUAUAUUUAUGUGUGAGUUAAAAAAUAGAAAUAUAAGAGUAAAAUGUAUGAAUGUGUGAGUUAAAAAUAUAUUCUUAUGAGAGAAAAAACUGUAUGUAUGUUAGAGUGAAAAUAUAUGUAUGUGAAUGGAGAAUGUAUAUAUGUGUGAGAGUGAAAAUAUAUGCAUGUGAAAGGAGAAUGUAUAUAUGUAUGAGAGUGUAUAUAUGUGUGAGAGUGAAAAUAUAUGCAUGUGAAAGGAGAAUGUAUAUAUGUAUGAGAGUGAAAAUAUAUGUAUGUGAAAGGAGAAUGUAUAUAUGUGCGAGAGUGAAAAUAUAUGUAUGUGAAAGGGGAAUGUAUGUAUGUGAGAGUACCAGAAUGAAUAAUGUCUUAUACGGCCCCUCAUAGACAAAUGUUGUUGCUGGUAGGGAGCAUUUCAAGACUGGUAGUGGACCCCCAGAAAGACCAGAGACCAACGACGUGGGAGACUUGUUGACUGCGAUCAUUGAUAGCCAGCAACCAUUGGAAGGUGUGGAAGUGUAUGAAUGUUUGGUUUAGAUAAACAGAUGUUCUUUUGUUAUCUGUACACAGGAAGUCACAUUCAUUCAAAGCGUGACAGUAAUUAGCCAAUGAGCUUGUCUAUUGGUUUCUUUGAGAUGAGAUGAGUCUGUAACAUCAUGAACAAUAAACUAUCAAAUGCUGCAAUAAAUAAUUGAAUUACUCUCUCCCUUUACGACCGGGUACGCAAUCAUUAUUUCAACCACUGUACGAAACAGCUGAUUUCUAACAAAGUUAUUCCUGAUAAUGAUCACUUGGACAGUUCAGAUGGGGCACUGUUCCAAUCCUCCAAUCC